rnacentral:rRNA from 1 species
CUACGGGAGGCAGCAGUGGGGAAUCUUAGACAAUGGGGGCAACCCUGAUCUAGCCAUGCCACGUGAGUGAUGAAGGCCCUAGGGUUGUAAAGCUCUUUCAGUCGUGAAGAUAAUGACGGUAGCGACAGAAGAAGCCCCGGCUAACUCCGUGCCAGCAGCCGCGGUAAUACGGAGGGGGCUAGCGUUGUUCGGAAUUACUGGGCGUAAAGCGCGCGUAGGCGGAUUGGAAGGUUGGGGGUGAAAUCCCAGGGCUCAGCCCUGGAACUGCCUCCAAAACUAUCAGUCUGGAGUUCGAGAGAGGUGAGUGGAAUUCCGAGUGUAGAGGUGAAAUUCGUAGAUAUUCGGAGGAACACCAGUGGCGAAGGCGGCUCACUGGCUCGAUACUGACGCUGAGGUGCGAAAGCGUGGGGAGCAAACAGGAUUAGAAACCCUAGUAGUCC